CGUGUAGGCGGCUUUGCAAGUCGGGUGUGAAAGCCCUCCAGCUCAACUGAGGAAGUGCGCCCGAAACUGCAGAGCUUGAGUACCGGAGAGGAUGGCGGAAUUCCCCAAGUAGAGGUGAAAUUCGUAGAUAUGGGGAGGAACACCGGUGGCGAAGGCGGCCAUCUGGACGGUCACUGACGCUGAGACGCGAAAGCGUGGGUAGCAAACAGG
rnacentral:rRNA from 1 species